rnacentral:lncRNA from 1 species
AAAGACAUACCUUUUGGAAUAGAAAAAAGGACCUGCAAGUUACGAUCAAGAAGUGAGACCAAUGACGCAAGCCGAAGGCAAAACACAGUACGACCAUGAAGGCGAGACCAGUGCACAAAAGAGGCCAGUGCGAUACAAUCAAUGCGAAAGAGGCGUAACGACAAGCGCGAAAGAGACACGAUGACGAGUGCAAAUACUACAAAGAGAUGCAAGGCCACCAGAGUCAAUAGUGAAUCACAACAAAAACCAAGAAGAAGAGGCUUAAUAUUAGAGCCCUACUAAGGUCAUGUUUCCCUUCAAACGACCUCGUUUUUCUUCAUUUUUUUCUCUUUCCAAACUUGUCAAACCGAUGCAAACUAGAAUUCUACACAAUUAUACCGAUUCUAC